UAUCGAACAUAAUAAAUUGUUAAAUCUAUAUUUAUGUGAAAUAGACCAAUUCAAUUGCUGACAUAAUCUGAAGGAAUUCUCUCUCGCUCUCACUAUCUCGCUCUCGCUUUCUAUUUUCUUAUAAAAUAUGCAUGUGCUAGUUAAAUUUAAAAGUUAGCCCAUGCAUAAAACUUGCCACUCAAACUGCGCUUUGCUUGUUAAAUCAUGUGAAAAACUAGUUAUUCGAAGAGCAAAAGUCAAAAACCAAAAACAAAAAACAAAAAAAAAAAAAAGAAGAGAGAUGCAAGAAAUUCGUUCAACUAAAAUCAAGAAGCUGCCAAGCGGAGACAAAAUCUAAAAGAAAAACACUAAACUAAACGAAAAACUGAAGACAAAGGACAAGAAACAACAACAAAAUUCAAACGAGUGCGAAAACUCACUCCAAAAGCAACUUGAGCGUGCAACUGCAACUGUCAGCUGCAGCUAAAGAAAAAAUAUAAAUAUUCCAUAGAAAAAUUUCCCCUCAUUGAGCUGCAGCUGCAACGCAUUAUUGGCACCAUGAGCGCCAGCAGUCGACAGUGGACGUCGGCAGCGUCCUUCUGGCAGCGACAGCGGCAGCGUCAACGUCGUCGUCGUCGGCCAGCAACGGAAACGGAUGUGGGGCAGGGACGAGCGCAUAAACAACUGUGCAACACUGUUGGCACAAACAUAUCAGCGGCUUAUGAUGAUAAUGAUGAUAAUGAAGCCGGCAAUAGCCCAGCUCCAACUACAAAUUAUAACAUUUCCGGCUUACUAGAUUGCCAGCAGCGACAUCAACAACAACAACAACAACAACAGCUAACAGGCCGCCUACAUCGACGCUCAUUGCCAGUGCCGCUGCUGUUGCUGCUGAUGCUCCUAGUUGAUUGUUCAUUGUCAGCGACUGGAAAUGACUCGAGCCUGGCACCCAAUGUGACCGUCACGGAAAUCGCAUUAUCCAUUAAUGAGUCAACAACCACAUUAGCAACGGCCGCAACACCAACAGCAGCAGGAGCAGGAGCAGCCACAGGAGCAGGAGUAGCAGCAACCACAGCUCUAGCAUUGAGUGAACUAACUGAAGCAGCUAAAGAGGAAGUGAAGGACAUUGAGAACACCAGCGAAUAUAUAUUCGAUCGUACCGAUGUGCGCAUUAUAUUCAUAACGCUCUACACGAUUGUCUUCUGCUGCUGCUUCUUCGGCAAUCUGCUUGUUAUAUUGGUCGUCACGCUAUCGCGCCGUCUGCGGUCCAUUACCAACUUUUUCUUGGCCAACUUGGCCUUUGCUGACUUCUGCGUGGGUCUCUUCUGUGUUAUGCAAAAUCUCUCCAUCUAUCUUAUAGACAGCUGGGUCUUCGGCGAGUUCCUCUGCCGCAUGUACCAAUUCGUGCACUCGCUUAGCUAUACGGCAUCAAUAUUUAUUCUGGUGGUCAUCUGCAUGGAGCGCUACUUUGCCAUUGUCCAUCCAAUAACGUGCAAACAAAUUCUAACAGCUGCUCGCUUAAGGAUGGUCAUUGUCACCGUGUGGAUUACGUCGGCAGUCUACUCGACGCCCAAAUUUGUCUUCAGCAAGACUAUUAAGAACAUUCACACCGAGGAUGGCCAGGAGGAGGAGAUCUGUGUCCUGGAUCGGGAAAUGUUCAAUUCCAAGUUGCUCGACAUGAUUAACUUUGUGCUGCUCUACGUGAUGCCGCUCCUGGUUAUGACGGUGCUGUACAGCAAAAUAGCCAUCGCUUUGUGGCGCAGCUCCCGUGGUCUCAGUCCGCAUGUGACGCAACAUCAGCAUCAACAACAACAACAACAUCAACAGCAGCAGCAGCAGCAUCAGGCUGGUCCAGAGAAUAGCAUGAGUCUGCAUAACAGCAUGUACCAUCAUCAUCAUCAUCACCAUCAUCCGCACGCACAUCCCCUAGCCCAUCCACAUCAUCAUCAACUCCAUCAGCUGCCAGCGUCGUCAGCGACAGGAGGAGGAGCUGGAGUCGGAGCAGGAGGCAGUGCUGGAGGAGUAGGAACAGGUGCUGGAACAUCGUCGCUAGCUUCCGGCAGCAGCUCCACGUCCUUGUCACGUAAACAAAGCAGUAAAUACGAAAAGCGAGGCGUCAGCAUCACCGAGAGUCAGCUUGAUAAUUGCAAGGUCUCGCUAGAAGCGGAUCGGCCCAUUGUGAGCGCUUGUCGCAAAACGAGCUUCUAUCAUCACUCCCACACGCACAAUCAGCGGCAGGGCAAUGGAAGCGGUGGUGUGGGCGUGGCAACCGCACAUAUGUCACACUCAUCGAGCAAUGUACUACGCGCACGGAGAGGCGUGGUCCGCAUGCUGAUAAUAUUUGUGCUGACAUUCGCGCUCUGCAAUCUGCCGUAUCAUGCGCGCAAAAUGUGGCAAUACUGGUCACGUUCGUAUCGCGGUGAUUCCAAUUUUAAUGCGCUGCUAACGCCGCUCACCUUUCUGGUCACGUACUUCAAUUCGGGAGUUAAUCCCCUGCUCUACGCCUUCCUCAGUCGCAAUUUCCGCAAGGGCAUGAAGGAGCUGCUGCUCUGCUCGUGGAAGAAGGGCAAGGGCAAGUCAUCCUCGAACUCGUCGAUGCAUCACAAGCGCAAGGCGUUGCAGACCCACUCGCUGCCCACGGAUACCACGCACAUUGGCAACGAGCAGCUAUGAUGGCCAAGCUGCUGGAGGAGGCGCUUUAGGCUGUUCGGUCGCCGCUCGUAGAACCCAAAGGAUUAGCUCAUUGUGAUGCUCACUUAAGAAGUCUCAAUUGCUUGGCAAGCGAAUAACUAAAUAAGCUCCAUUUAUAGAUUUUAUCCAUUGUCAAACAAAGCUAAAAGAGCGAAAA
rnacentral:misc_RNA from 1 species